rnacentral:piRNA from 1 species
ACUGUCUAUCGAGGAAGGUGAGCACUGUG